rnacentral:rRNA from 1 species
UACGAACUGUGCGAACGUUAUUCGGAAUCACUGGGCUUACAGGGUGCGUAGGCGGCUCAACAAGUCAGGUGUGAAAGCCCCCGGCUCAACCGGGGAACUGCGCUUGAAACUGUUAGGCUCGAGUCAGCUAGAGGUACACGGAACUUCCAGUGGAGCGGUGAAAUGUGUUGAUAUUGGAAGGAACACCGGAGGCGAAAGCGGUGUACUGGAGCUGGUCUGACGCUGAGGCACGAAAGCCAGGGGAGCGAACGGG